rnacentral:rRNA from 1 species
GUGCCAGCAGCCGCGGUAAUACGUAGGAUGCAAGCGUUGUUCGGAAUUACUGGGCGUAAAGAGUACGUAGGCGGUAAAAUAAGUCUGAUAUUAAAAACCGGAGCUUAACUCCGGGGGUGUAUUGGAAACUGUAUUACUAGAGGACAGUAGAGGAAGUCGGAAUUCUCAGUGUAGCGGUGAAAUGCGUAGAUAUUGGGAAGAACACCAGUGGCGAAAGCGGACUUCUGGGCUGUUACUGACGCUGAGGUACGAAAGCGUGGGGAGCAAACGGGAUUAGAAACCCUAGUAGUCC